AGCAGCCGCGGUAAUUCCAGCUCCAAUAGCGUAUAUUAAAGUUGUUGCAGUUAAAAAGCUCGUAGUUGAAUUUCGGGAUCAGUAUGUUGGUCGUGCUUCGGUACGUACUGUCAUUACUGGUUUCUCCCUUCUGAAGAACCUUGAUGUCAUUAAUUUGGUGUCUUGGGGAAUCAGGACUGUUACUUUGAAAAAAUUAGAGUGUUUAAAGCAGGCAUACGCUUGAAUACAUUAGCAUGGAAUAAUGAAAUAGGACGUUUGAUUCUAUUUUGUUGGUUUCUAGGAUCGACGUAAUGAUUAAUAGGGAUAGUUGGGGGCAUUAGUAUUCAAUUGUCAGAGGUGGAAUUCUUGGAUUUAUUGAAGACUAACUACUGCGAAAGCAUUUGCCAAGGAUGUUUUCAUUAAUCAAGAACGAAAGUUAGGGGAUCGAAGACGAUCAGAUACCGUCGUAGUCUUAACCAUAAACUAUGCCGACUAGGGAUCGGAUGAUGUUAAUUUUUUAAUGACUCA
rnacentral:rRNA from 1 species